UUACUUUCAAAACCUAAAUUAUCAAAACCUUGUAUUUUUCUUGUAUAAUAAUCAUCAUUUUUACAUAUAUUCAAACCAAAUACAUUUUUACCUAGUGAUUUAUUACCACUAAAUAUUUCUGCCCAUCUUAAGGCUUUAUCAUUCGAGUCACAAAAUAUAGAUAUAACUGUACAAUACGAUCGAAGAAAAAUAUAUUCUUUAUUUACGAAAUCACUUAAAUUAUAUUCUGGGUUCAUCAUCGUUAAUGUAAUUAAUUUCAUUUUAGUUAAAUUACUAGAAGAAUUUUCUUCUUCAUCUAUGGUUGAAAAUAAGUUGCUUUUGACGAUGUCAUGAAACGAUAAUAAAAAUGUUCGUGUACCCAUACUAUGAGUUAUAAUAUGUAUUUGUCUUAUACCUGUAAAUAAGGGUAAAAAAAAAAAAAAAAAAAAAAAAAAAAAAAAAAAAAAAAAAAANNNNNNNNNNNNNNNNNNNNNNNNNNNNNNNNNNNNNNNNNNNNNNNNNNNNNNNNNNNNNNNNNNNNNNNNNNNNNNNNNNNNNNNNNNNNNNNNNNNNAAAAAAAAAAAAAAAAAAAAAAAAAAAAAAAAAAAAAAAAAAAUGUUGGGUGUGUAUAAGUAGGAAAAAAGAAUAAGUAACAUUUUAUAUGAACAUCACGAGCAAAAUCACGCCACAGGUGUGUACAUGCAAUUAAAAGUAGGAAAAAAAAAAAAAAAAAAUAAAAAAAAAAAAAACGAACGGACGAACAAACGAACGGACGAACAAACGAACGGAAGAACAAACGAACGGAAGAACAAACGAACGGAAGAACAAACGAACAAACGAACAAACGAACGGAAGAACAAACGAACGGACGAACAAACGAACGGAAGAACAAACGAACGGAAGAACAAACGAACGGAAGAACAAACGAACGGAAGAACAAACGAACGGAAGAACAAACGAACGGACGAACAAACGAACAAACGAACAAACGAACAAACGAACAAACGAACAAACGAACAAACGAACGGAAGAACAAACGAACGGACGAACAAACGAACAAACGAACAAGUAUUACCAUUACUGCGCAAGGUGCUUAAGAAAGUCUUUAAUGCUAUGUGUACUUUAGUAUUUUUCGAAUUAUCUCGUGCUACAAAGAAUUGUAAAAAACUAGCUCCAGAUGGCCAGUUAAAUAAAAAUAAUUUUAUAUAAUUGGGGAAAUUACCAAAUGAAGCCAUCUGACCUAAAAUUUGUAACGCCUGUAAAUGAUUUGUAUUAUAACCAUGUAUAAAUAUAACUGCUUCUAGACAUCCUGCUAAUUCACAUUUUAUCCAUCCUUCUAAGCUUAAUUCUUUAACAUUAUCAAUCCAAGAAUAUUUUUUUUUAUCGUUUAUGGAUGUAUUUGUUAGUAACGGAGUUGAUUUUAUUUUUUUUUUAUUAAAAGUAUUUUUUUUUUUUUAAUAAUUUUUAUUUUCACUUCAUUAUCUUCAAAAUCAUCUUUUCCACUUUUAUUUUUCAUUAAAUUAUAAUUUUUUUUUUUAUUUAUAUAUCCAGUUAUAUAUAAACCUCUUUCAGCAUCGAUCGAUAUAUGUAAAUCCGUGUUGUAUAUAAUUCCAAAAUUAGGCAUGUGAGGACAUAAAUUUUGUAAUAUAAUAUUCAUGCAUUUUGUUUUAUAUGCGUUUGUAAUUGUAUCUGAAAAAAUUAAUCUUUUUUUUCUUUUUUUUUUUAUUUUUAAUUUAGGUAAAGUACCAGAAAAAGCUCUUGGUAAAAAUGUUUUUUUAUGUGCAAUUUUUUUUUUUUUUUUUUUUUUUUUGCUUUUUUUUAUUUUGUUUUUUUCUUUCUCUUAAGACUUUGAAUUGUUGCAGUUUUAAUAUUGUUGCUGUCAUGUUUUGUCCGAUAUUUUUGGGUAUUUUUCGUUUACCUUCUUUGUCCUCUUCUUUAUCACUUUUGUUAUAGUCAGGUUCUGUCACUCCGUCAACACCAUUUAAUGCUAUUUCUUUUUUCUUCUUUUUUUCUUUUCCAUCUUUAUCCCCACCUUCAUCCCCAUCUUUAUUAUCCUCACCUUCAUCCCCAUCUUUAUUAUCCCCACCUUCAUCCCCAUUUUUAUCCCCACCUUUAUCCCCAUCUUUACCCCCAUCUUUACCCCCAUCCUUAUCUACUAUGUCUUCUUUCCAUCUUACUUUUAAACUACUUUCAUCUAUUUUCUCUUUUU
ensembl:lncRNA